CUCCAAGUGGCAUCAGAAGCAUGUCAUGUGGAGGGGACCUUUCCUUGAAACGUCCAGUUUGAACUGGUGUGCUGGGGCCGCAGCCUUCCCUCUCUUCAGUACCUGCCUAACCUCUCAGGGUUCCACGGGAGUAUGGGAGGGGAGUUCCGUGACACCGGGAGUGUCUGCUUCUCUAAGUUUUCUCCUGAGUUCCUCCACACCCUCUGCCACUCAAUGUUACCCGGCUUUGCAGAAGAUCCCGCCGACCGAUACUGAUACUGAAAAGCACAUUCCGAAAACAUGACAGUGUGAACAAUGUGAUUGUGUUGGUUGGGACGUUCCAGAAAUGUCCAGAGAUGUUGAGGGGGAGAAAAGGAAAAGCGUGGGAGGAGGGAAGCUUGGAAACCUGUUGAAACAUCUCUCUACCCCUCAACAGAUUUGCUGGGAAGGCAGUGGGGGGCAUACAAGCAUUAGCAGCCUCGGGAGUGUAACUUUUGAGGCUCAAACCGUGGCACGCUGUAAAUAAAGGCCAGACGGGGGACCCAGCUGUGCUUUUGGGGCUGUUGUAUGUAUACAUCGUACAGUGAUGGGCACGCUCUGGGCAGCGUCUGCCAGUACGCCUCUCCCAAUCCUCUUGCAUUUUAACAUUCUUCAGGGAUGGUCAUAAAG